UACAGAGGGUGCGAGCGUUAAUCGGAAUUACUGGGCGUAAAGCGCGCGUAGGCGGCUUUGCAAGUCGGGUGUGAAAUCCCCAGGCUUAACCUGGGAACUGCAUUCGAGACUGCAUUGCUAGAGUAUGGGAGAGGGAAGUGGAAUUUCCGGUGUAGCGGUGAAAUGCGUAGAUAUCGAGAGGAACACCUGCGGCGAAGGCGGGUUGCUGGGCUGAUACUGACGCUGAGGAGCGAAAGCGUGGGGAGCGAAACGGG
rnacentral:rRNA from 1 species